rnacentral:tRNA from 1 species
GGCUCGUUGGUUCUAGGGGUAUGAUUCUCGAUUUCGGGUGCGAGAGGUCCCUGGGUUCAAAUCCCGGAUGAGCCC